rnacentral:rRNA from 1 species
UGCAAGUCGAGGGGUAACAGGAAUAGCAAUAUUUGCUGACGACCGGCGCACSGKUGCGUAACACGUAUGUAAUCUGCCCUCAACUGGGGGAUAGCCCGGAGAAAUCCGGAUUAAUACCCCAUAAUAGAAGACAAGGCAUCUUGUUUUUUUGAAAAUUCCGAUGGUUGAGGAUGAACAUGCGACUGAUUAGUUUGUUGGUGAGGUAACGGCUCACCAAGACUACGAUCAGUAGGGGUACUGAGAGGUUAAACCCCCACACUGGUACUGAGACACGGACCAGACUCCUACGGGAGGCAGCAGUAAGGAAUAUUGGACAAUGGGCGAGAGCCUGAUCCAGCCAUGCCGCGUGCAGGAAGAAGGCCCUAUGGGUCGUAAACUGCUUUUGAACAAGAGAAAACCCCUCUACGUGUAGAGGGCUGAUAGUAUUGUUAGAAUAAGCAUCGGCUAACUUCGUGCCAGCAGCCGCGGUAAGACGAAGGAUGCAAGCGUUAUCCGGAUUCAUUGGGUUUAAAGGGAGCGUAGGCGGACUUGUAAGUCAGUGGUGAAAUCUUUGGGCUUAACCCAGAAACUGCCAUUGAUACUGCAAGUCUAGAGUACAGUUGCCGUUGGCGGAAUAUGACAUGUAGUGGUGAAAUACUUAGAUAUGUCAUAGAACACCGAUUGCGAAGGCAGCUAACGAAGCUGUAACUGACGCUGAGGCUCGAAAGUGCGGGGAUCAAACAGGAUUAGAUACCCUGGUAGUCCGCACUGUAAACGAUGAUUACUCGCUGCUGGAAGGUAACUUUCAGUGGCCAAGCGAAAGCGAUAAGUAAUCCACCUGGGGAGUACGCCGGCAACGGUGAAACUCAAAGGAAUUGACGGGGGCCCGCACAAGCGGAGGAGCAUGUGGUUU